UAGGGAAUCUUCCACAAUGGGCGAAAGUCUGAUGGAGCAACGCCGCGUGAGUGAAGAAGGGUUUCGGCUCGUAAAACUCUGUUGUUAAAGAAGAACAUAUCUGAGAGUAACUGUUCAGGUAUUGACGGUAUUUAACCAGAAAGCCACGGCUAACUACGUGUCAG
rnacentral:rRNA from 1 species